CCAGGUCAGGUUGCUGAAGUCCAGCCAGAAUGUCUUCUCCAUGGAGCUAGCACUGUGGAGACCCUGACGACCCAGAGGAAUCCAAUGCUCAGUCCUGGCAGAGCCACCAAGAGCUUGGAAGCAUUGGAGGCUGGUGACCUGCAGGGAUCGUAAAGCACUCACUCAAUGUACAAGUAGGAUGUGUCUUAAUUGAAUAACAAUGGGCCAAUAGAAGGUUUUGUUCCCCCGCCUCCGAAAGAGAGAGUGAAGUGGAUAUUUGGGAACACUUUCAUAAAGUGGCUGCUGAGAAACUGUGAGCGUCUACACCGGCGGCUGACCUUGUUCUCCCACAGGUGACCAAAGACGCAAAGUGGUGUUUGGAGACACAACAUUUUCUUUUCUUCUGAGGUUCGAAAUGCGACUCGUGGCCUUGGAGGUAGGUCACCCCAAGACUCUCACAGUAUCUGAGGCACGCAUGGCCCCUGGCUGGUGCAGGAGGCCUCAGGCCAAUUCCUGGCUGACAGCCAGACCACAA